rnacentral:rRNA from 1 species
GAUGAACGCUGGCGGCGUGCCUAAUACAUGCAAGUAGAACGCUGAAGGAGGAGCUUGCUCUUCUGGAUGAGUUGCGAACGGGUGAGUAACGCGUAGGUAACCUGCCUGGUAGCGGGGGAUAACUAUUGGAAACGAUAGCUAAUACCGCAUGACAACAGUUAUUGCAUGAUAACUGUUUAAAAGGGGCAACUGCUCCACUACCAGAUGGACCUGCGUUGUAUUAGCUAGUUGGUGAGGUAACGGCUCACCAAGGCGACGAUACAUAGCCGACCUGAGAGGGGGAUCGGCCACACCGGGACUGAGACACGGCCCAGACUCCUACGGGAGGCAGCAGUAGGGAAUCUUCGGCAAUGGACGGAAGUCUGACCGAGCAACGCCGCGUGAGUGAAGAAGGUUUUCGGAUCGUAAAGCUCUGUUGUAAGAGAAGAACGAGUGUGAGAGUGGAAAGUUCACACUGUGACGGUAUCUUACCAGAAAGGGACGGCUAACUACGUG